AACACAUGCAAGACGAGCGGUAGAGAGAUGCUUGCUUCUCUUGAGAGCGGCGGACGGGUGAGUAAUGCCUAGGAAGCUGCCUGGUAGUGGGGGAUAACGUUCGGAAACGGACGCUAAUACCGCAUACGUCCUACGUGGAGAAAGCAGGGACUUCGGGCCUUGCGCUAUCAGAUGAGCCAAGGUCGAUUAGCUAGUUGGUGAGGUAAUGGCUCACCAAGGCGACGAUCCGUAACUGGACUGAGUGGAUGAUCAGUCACACUGGAACUGAGACACUCCAGACUCCUACGGGACAGCAGUGGGGAAUAUUGGACAAUGGGCGAAAGCCUGAUCCAGCCAUGCCGCGUGUGUGAAGAAGGUCUUCGGAUUGUAAAGCACUUUAAGUUGGGAGGAAGUGGCAGUUACCUAAUACGUAAUUGUUUUGACGUUACCGACAGAAUAAGCACCGGCUAACUCUGUGCCAGCAGCCGCGGUAAUACAGAGGGUGCAAGCGUUAAUCGGAAUUACUGGGCGUAAAGCGCGCGUAGGUGGUUAGUUAAGUUGGAUGUGAAAUCCCAGGGCUCAACCUGGGAACUGGGCAAGCUAGAGUACGAUAGAGGGUGGUGGAAUUUCCUGUGUAGCGGUGAAAUGCGUAGAUAUAGGAAGGAACACCAGUGGCGAAGGCGACCACCUGGACUGAUACUGACACUGAGGUGCGAUAGCGUGGAGAGCAAACAGGAUUAGAUACCCUGGUAGUCCACGCCGUAAACGAUGUCAACUAGCCGUUGGAAUCCUUGAGAUUUUAGUGGCGCAGCUAACGCAUUAAGUUGACCGCCUGGAGAGUACGGCCGCAAGGUUAAAACUCAAAUGAAUUGACGGGGGCCCGCACAAGCGGUGGAGCAUGUGGUUUAAUUCGAAGCAACGCGAAGAACCUUACCAGGCCUUGACAUGCAGAGAACUUUCCAGAGAUGGAUUGGUGCCUUCGGGAACUCUGACACAGGUGCUGCAUGGCUGUCGUCAGCUCGUGUCGUGAGAUGUUGGGAUAAGUCCCGUAACGAGCGCAACCCUUGUCCUUAGUUACCAGCACGUAAUGGUGGGCACUCUAAGGAGACUGCCGGUGACAAACCGGAGGAAGGUGUGGAUGACGUCAAGUCAUCAUGGCCCUUACGGCCUGGGCUACACACGUGCUACAAUGGUCGGUACAGAGGGUUGCCAAGCCGCGAGGUGGAGCUAAUCUCACAAAACCGAUCGUAGUCCGGAUCGCAGUCUGCAACUCGACUGCGUGAAGUCGGAAUCGCUAGUAAUCGCGAAUCAGAA
rnacentral:rRNA from 1 species